rnacentral:rRNA from 1 species
GAUGAACGCUGGCGGCGUGCCUAAUACAUGCAAGUCGAGCGAACGGACGAGAAGCUUGCUUCUCUGAUGUUAGCGGCGGACGGGUGAGUAACACGUGGAUAACCUACCUAUAAGACUGGGAUAACUUCGGGAAACCGUAGCUAAUACCGGAUAAUAUUUUGAACCGCAUGGUUCAAAAGUGAAAGACGGUCUUGCUGUCACUUAUAGAUGGAUCCGCGCUGCAUUAGCUAGUUGGUAAGGUAACGGCUUACCAAGGCAACGAUGCAUAGCCGACCUGAGAGGGUGGUUGGCCACAUUGGAACUGAGACUCGGUCCAGACUCCUACGGUAGGCCGCAGCAGGGACUCUUACGCGAGGGGGGAAAGCCUGACGGAGCACCGCCGCGUGAGUGAUGAAGGUGUUCGGAUCGUAAAACGCUGUUAGUAGGGAAGAACAUAUGUGUAAGUAACUGUGCACAUCUUGACGGUACCUAAUCAGAAAGCCCCGGCUAACUACGUG